rnacentral:rRNA from 1 species
UGGGGAAUAUUGCACAAUGGGCGAAAGCCUGAUGCAGCGACGCCGCGUGCGGGAUGAAGGCCUUCGGGUUGUAAACCGCUUUUGAUUGGGAGCAAGCGAGAGUGAGUGUACCUUUCGAAUAAGCACCGGCUAACUACGUGCCAGCAGCCGCGGUAAUACGUAGGGUGCAAGCGUUAUCCGGAAUUAUUGGGCGUAAAGAGCUCGUAGGCGGCUUGUCGCGUCUGGUGUGAAAGUCCAUCGCUUAACGGUGGAUCUGCGCCGGGUACGGGCAGGCUAGAGUGCGACAGGGGAGACUGGAAUUCCCGGUGUAACGGUGGAAUGUGUAGAUAUCGGGAAGAACACCAAUGGCGAAGGCAGGUCUCUGGGUCGUCACUGACGCUGAGGAGCGAAAGCGUGGGGAGCGAACAGGAUUAGAUACCCUGGUAGUCCACGCCGUAAACGGUGGAUGCUGGAUGUGGGGCCCAUUCCACGGGUUCCGUGUCGGAGCUAACGCGUUAAG